ensembl:lncRNA
AUUCUCAGGAGGGGCAGAGAAGGGAGCAACCAAGAAACAGCCAGUCUGGUGUCUGUGGAUCGGAGGCAGAAAGCAAGAGCUGCAUAGAGAAGAUACUUUCUCGGACUGUGUUCCUUCACACUCCCCAUGCCCUCCUUCCAUCUGAGCAAAUCUUCCUCUAGAGUUUGAGGCAACUUCUGAAAAAGAGUGACCUCCUGGACCUACUCCAAAAGUUUGUCUGCUGACAUGGAAUGACUCAUCUCUGUAAUUCUGCUUCCAUUUCCCAAGCGGCUCCGAAGAUCACAGAAGAGAUUAAAUGUCCUCAUGUGUGAUUGGGAACAUUUGCACGGCUGAGAAUUCACAGCAUGCUGUGCCAGGCUGAGCCGUGACUGGCUGCCACGCUGGGCAGGACCAGGAGAGUCAGCCUGCCCUGCAAAGGAGAGCGUUAAAAAGCUGCCUGUGGCCCACACUGCAGAGCCUGGAUUUGAAGUUGUUUCUUAAGCCUGGAUGCCUUUUCACUCAGCUCCUUUUGGAUUCAGGCCAAGAGUGUCAAGGGGGUGGGUGUGUCCCAAGAUCCAAGUGGAUUUCCUUUUCUCUCCUUGUGAAGGAAUGGCUUAUUUGGCAGAGAAGGUACAAUCUGAGAAGGUCUUUGUGCUUGGCUUAAUACCCUAGAUUCACCAGCUUGAAAUUCCUAGUACUUUUGAACCAGGGAACCAGCAUGUUUAUCUUGAACAGGUACUGUAAAUUAUGCCAUUGGUCUGGCUUUCAAAAACUGGGUAGAGCUUGACUUUGGGUUCAUCAGUUAUCUCCUGGAAAUUCCCUUUCUUCUAGAACAUGAGUCAGCAUUUGUUCUAAGUGUUCUUCCAAGCCUGAUGCCCCAGGAAGGAUACUUUGAAUGUCAGUCCCAGACUAAGUGUCUGAGACCUGGAGAUCCAGUUCUUGAGAACAAAACAAGAGUGAGUAAAGCCCCAUUCAGAACCCAUCCAUGCUGGUGCUCCUACUGUGAUCGAAAUCUCUGCACUUUAUCUAAGAUGUUAGGAGACUCUCGGGAGGCACUUGGUGAAUGAAGAUCCCAGUCUUUCUACU